CAACGACUCUCGGCAACGGAUAUCUCGGCUCUCGCAUCGAUGAAGAACGUAGCGAAAUGCGAUACUUGGUGUGAAUUGCAGAAUCCCGUGAACCAUCGAGUCUUUGAACGCAAGUUGCGCCCGAAGCCUUCCGGCCGAGGGCACGUCUGCCUGGGCGUCACG
rnacentral:rRNA from 1 species